GGCCGGUUAGCUCAGGUUAGCUCUUGGCUAGAGCGUCGUGCUAAUAACGCGAAUGUCAUGGGUUCGAUCCCCACACUGGCCG